GGCUGUCAGACAAAAAUGAUCGGAAACGAUCAUAAACUGAUCGGACUGAACUUAACUUUAAUGGAGGAAAAUUUUACAAUAAUAGAGCUAUAAGCAAAUACAAUAUUGACUAUUUCCAAAAAUUCUCUACCUUUUGUGAUGUAAAUUAACAGUAAUUUCUUGUGUACCAAAACGGAACAUCUGCUGCCUACUUAGUGUUUACAGAAACUAACCGAUGCAACAGCUAUAAAUAGCCAAUAAUGCAAAGUACAAAAUGGCAGCGUACAGUAAAUUUCCAACACACGAAAAUUACAUUUCAAGGAAAAUACAGUGAAAUAUGUGGAUUUUAACAAAGUUACUUGGCAGUUUGUUAAAGAAUUACAUUCUUCAACUGAGAAAACCAGACUUUACAUAAAAAUACAAACAUUUAAGGAAUUAUGACAGCUUAAAGUCAAGAUUAAAAGGAUUGUUUACAAACAGUUACUGCUAAAGUGUCACGGAUAAGGACUUCUGUUUAAAUGAGCUAAAGUGUGUUGUUUAAAAGUCAAUGCACAGUUUAUUUUUCAUUUUAUGCCUUGUUAAGACAACAACUAGUACUAGUUUCACAACCCACUGAUAAAGUAAUGUUCAUGUAGAAAUUAUAUAAUUACGGAGGUACAUAGUACCGGCGAUGCCAACAUUUACUACGAGUACUUCUUACCCGAAAUCCCCUCAUCGCAACAACUUUCCUCAAAACAAUAGACCGACUGUAUGGCAUCGAUUAGUGCAGCAGAUCCAUUUAGAUUUUGAAGCUGAGCAAAAAGAAGCAAAAAUGGCGACAGAAAGAGAACAUGAAUCCGCACAAAGAGAAACGGAGAAGAUUGAUCAAAGGGAUGCUCUAUGGAAUGAAUUGAACAACAGUACCGGGGGAUAUGAACACUAAAGGAUGUGUGUACGAAGAGGAAGAGGAGCCUGAUUUUUGGGAGUUUAUGAAACGACUAGGAAAAGAAACGGACGACGCAAUACAGCUGAUAAUGGAACAGGAGGAGAAUUAUUUUGUAGCUCGAUUUGAUUUUCAUGGACUGUUUGUAGAUUUUUUAAAUUGAUUUUUUUGUUUCAUUUCAUUUUUUUUUAAUUAUGAUUGGUAAUUUGCGGAAA